rnacentral:tRNA from 1 species
GGCGAGUUGCCCGAGCGGCCAAAGGGAGCUGACUGUAAAUCAGCCGUCAUCGACUUCACAGGUUCGAAUCCUGUACUCGCCA